rnacentral:rRNA from 1 species
UACGUAGGGGGCAAGCGUUGUCCGGAAUCAUUGGGCGUAAAGCGCGUGUAGGCGGCUCGGAAAGUCUGGUGUGAAAUCUUGAGGCUCAACCUUAAGCUGUCACUGGAAACUAACGGGCUUGAGUCCGGAAGAGGAGAGUGGAAUUCCCGGUGUAGCGGUGAAAUGCGCAGAUAUCGGGAAGAACACCCGUGGCGAAGGCGGCUCUCUGGGACGGUACUGACGCUGAGACGCGAAAGCGUGGGGAGCAAACGGG